GUCGGAGGCUGAUAAAGCCAUGGCUGAACCAAUCGGAUGAGUUCAAGCACUGAGUAGAAUCGUUGAGUCAAGCAGCAGCGGAGCAGAGGAGGGAGAAAAUGGAAGAUUUUGCGGAGGAUUUGGAUGGAAAUGGCGAUUGCUUAGCGAUCUGAUAGGAAUGGAAAUGCAGGAGAAGUUCACUGUAUAUAAAAUGGAGAAGAAAGUGGAAAGAAGUUUGGAGUUU
rnacentral:misc_RNA from 1 species